AUGAUGACGAGGGGGGGAAGCACGCAGACACCCACCGCUCAGUGCGUGGCAUCAGAGGGUCCGGCCCCACCGCACCCCCCCCCUCCCCUCCACUCCCGACUCUCUGCGUGUGUGAGGGAGGAAGCCCAGCAGCCCCCACCUCACCCUCCCCAAUGCCGAGCCACUCCUGGUGGUGGUGGCAGGGCCCGGUGCCCGCGACGCAGCGAGGUCAGAGCAAUUCAGCGCUACUGAUGUUGUCGGUCAAGGCCCUGCGUGGCGCUGCGUCGACGCCACCUGCGCAGCGGGCAGAGUGCGAGGCAGGGGCCGUGCUCUCAGGGGACUGAAUCGGCGCCUUGCUGGACCGGCGUGUGUCGACGGCUGCCAUGGUCCCACGCGAGGUGGGGCCUCUGUGACAGGGCCGUGGGUGGCAGCGUGGGGCGUUGGACCCCGCGCUGUGUGGCAGAGAAGCGGACUUGUGUCUGAGGCGCGAAGGAAACGAAUAUAUUCGCUCUUGUGGCCAUCAUGGUGAUGUGGUGGACAGAGCGCCGGUGCGGCUCCCAUACACAGAUGCCCAAGCGGAUACCCGCACCGGGAGAUCAACUGCAUGACACAGAAAAGCGUACAGGAAAGAGAAAUGCCUCCCCCCCCCCCCUACGGAAGAAAGGAGCACCGGCACUGGCAGCGGCAUUGCUGCACAACUACAGUCUAUGCGCGUGUGCAUGCGCCUGUUCGAAAGACGCGCUGCAUGCCUGCCGGUAUGGCCCUCCCGGUGUGCAGGCGGCACAAUGCCACGCCCGCACACACCCCAGCAGUGGGAUCGGUUGAAGUGAAGGCACUGCCGCGCUGGAUCGUCUCGAUGCAGCUCACUCGCUCUCCCCCUCCUCCCUCCCCCCAAACGUUGGCGAAG
rnacentral:misc_RNA from 1 species